rnacentral:lncRNA from 1 species
UCCUUAACCAAGUAGACCUAAAACUGGUUUGAUCUUUUAGCUCAUUGUACCCCUGGAUGGGUUACUCCUUUAUCUGCCAUUGUUUUUCGCCUUCAAAGCACUUUUCCAGCUCAUUAAAUCCGAGCCGAAGUCAGCGCAGGGACAUCGCCUCGGCCAGCAGCUGUCAAUGGGAUGGAUGGGCCAGCCUCAGUUUCAUUCUGAUCCUGCCUGCCUGGUCAAUGUAGGCAUAUUGUGGUCGUAAAUCAGCAAUGGAGAGUGGCCCUUGUGGCCCCACUGACACCUUUUUGUCCACCGGCAAAUGCGUCGACAAGUCGACAAGGCAAGGCAAGGCAGGGCAGGGCAGGGCCAGGCAAGGCAAUCGCAAAAGUUAAUAACAAACAGGGCCAGGGCCACUUCUAAUUUGUGCCAAUGAAAGGGAUAAUAAAACUGGAAAUGAAACUGGAAUUGGAACUGGAAGUGGAAGUGGAUGUGGAAGUCGAAGCGGAGGCAGCAACUGUACCACCAUGGGCGGAGGACACAAUGCGAAGGACGGACGGACGGACGGGACGAGCGAGGACAAAGGCGAGGCAGUGCGCAUAUUGAAACCGGAAAUAGUCGAACCAAGUGCCAGGCAACCGACUGACGCACUGACACACAUUUCGCAAACAAAGGACAAAGGACACUGGAAACGCACAGGGAACACAUGACCGACCGACCGACCGACCGACCAACAAAACAACAACAAAAAGGGGCAGCGAAGCAGUCGGCAAGCAGGGCAACAACAAAAAGGGGAAGGAACGGAAUUCAGCAAAAUAAAAUACGAAAAAAAAGCUCGAGUAAAAAUGCUUUUGUCCAGGCGGGCAGGAACAAAGCCCAACUAACCGCCUGUGGCGGAACAACCACCCUUAAUGGCGGAAGGACAUGCAGGACAAGCCCAAGACUCAAAAAAGCCGCCCGGCAACAGCAAGGAACGGCUGCUGCAAAGCAC